rnacentral:rRNA from 1 species
CACUGUUUCGGUGCGGGCUGCGAUAAGCGGUACCAAAUCGAGGCAAACUCAGAAUACCAGGCGAACACACAGCCAGUGAGACGGUGGGGGAUAAGCUUCAUCGUCAAGAGGGAAACAGCCCAGACCACCAGCUAAGGCCCCGAAAUUGUCACUAAGUGAUAAAGGAGGUGAGAGUGCAAAGACAACCAGGAGGUUUGCCUAGAAGCAGCCAACCUUAAAAGAGUGCGUAAUAGCUCACUGGUCAAGCGCUCUUGCGCCGAAAAUGAAUGGGGCUAAGUGACAUGCCGAAGCUGUGGGAUAUGAAAAUAUCGGUAGGGGAGCGUUCUGUAGUAGAGAGAAGCACUAGCGGCAAGCAGGUGUGGACGAAGCAGAAGUGAGAAUGUCGGCUUGAGUAGCGAAAACAUUGGUGAGAAUCCAAUGCCCCGAAACCCUAAGGGUUCCUCCGGCAGGUUCGUCCGCGGAGGGUAAGUCAGGACCUAAGGCGAGGCCAAACGGCGUAGUCGAUGGACAACGGGUGAAUAAUCCCGUACUGAGUAUCAGUUGUGCAGAGGGACGGAGAAGGCAAAUGUCAGCCGGAAGUUGGUUACCGGUUCAAGCGUCAAGGUGUUAAGAAGCGGGGAAAACGCUUCGAGCCAAGACGGGAGUACGAGACCCUAAGGGGUCGAAGUGGCAUAGUCAAGCUUCCAAGAAAAGCUCGGUGGCACGAUAACUGAUAGUUACCUGUACSSGAAACCGACACAGGUA